GCGUCCACAUUCUCUCUCCCCUCUCCUAUCUCCAAUAUUCUGAACGUAAAGCUACGUUGAUCCUCUUGCGGUUUACCAACGUUCAGUUUACGAUUGCUUUUGCAUUAAGAAAGAAGAAGCGAGAAAUGCCGUGUAAUAUAUCCACUUGUUUUUAUUUAAAUUCGUUAUUGUUUGUAAUUUUACGAAAUAACACGUGAGAGAGGAAGAAGAAAGUGUGAAAAGAAACUUUUAACAACACUCGUGUAAUCAAUAAUUACUUAUACACGUUUAUUUUAAAUCCGGAAGAUUUACAACGUGAUAUAUACAACGGUGUGAUAAGGCAAAACAAAAAACAAAGAAAACAUUUUCUUCAACGUCGUCGUCUUUGUCAUCUUCAUCUAAAAACAGUUUCUUUUCGUUACAAAAAAAAAACUUUAAAAUUAUUCACACGAACUGAACACCCAAAAAAAAAAUGUUUCAAUUAUCCUUGAAGAUUCUACUUGCUACGUUGAUGUUUGUGAAUUUAGUAUUCACGACUCCCGUCGAAGAUUCUAAUCUUGUUACGAAGAAAUCGAUAAACAUGGUAUUUUCAGCUGAUGUAGAAAAUAUUACAAAUGAGCACAAGACAUUUAGGGAAAAUAAACAUUUGAAAGAAGGUAAUACAAAUGUAACACUUAACUCGAUAAAUCAUCCAAAAACAUCGUCGAAUAUAGGAGAAUCAUCAACGAAGACAUUACCUGCAACGUUUCAAAAUAAUUCAAACCCUAUCCCUCCGGUAUUGGAAAAGAAAAAGGAUGAUGAUGUUAAUCAAAAUGCAACGAAACGACCGGUCGAAGAAACAACACCUAUUAAUCAAGUAACUGAGAUUAAAAAUGCAAGUGAUUUUACAGGAGAACAAAAAGAUUUGAUCGGAGUAUCCGUGUCUCCUCGAGACGAAGAAGACGUUACGACAAUUGUUCCCACACUAUUGGAUAAAACUAAUUCGUCCGUUGUCAAUGUCACAGAAGCUACUAUAUCAUCAUCAUCGUCACUUUCACCAGUAUCAUCAACAACAUCAGCAUCAUCUACUACCACGUUGAAAAGUAUCAAUGAGACGACUCCUGUAGACGAUGUUCCAAUUAAAAAGGAAAAACCUGAUAGUGAACAUAAGGACAAAGUAGAAAAUACAACCUACCAGAUAAAUACUUCUACUACUACUACUACUGCUACUGUAUCGAGUAACAUAACAACAGAAAUGAAAGAAUCAUCGAGUGUGACAUCAAAAUCUACAGAGGAGGUAACUACCGUCGUGUCUUCCGAGAGCGAUCAGGUGGAAAUUGGAAUUAGUACUGAGGUGGUAGAGAAGAAGAAAAAUGUCGUAGAAGAGAAGAUUGAAUUGAAUAUAAAAAGCAAACCAUUAUCUGCUAAUGAAAAAGAUAGCAAUGGAGGUAUGCCACCUGGUAUUAUUGUAUUGGUAACGGCAUUCGUAUUUGCUGUUACAAUCGUUAUUGGAUAUAUCAGUAUGGUUGUAUGGAAGCAAUAUCUCCAACACAGAUAUGGACGACGAGAAUUAUUGGUGAACGAGUUAGAAUUUGAUACGAACGAUCUGAGACAUUUUGAGCUUUGACUUGGGGAAAAACAUGAAUGAUAAUUAUCUGAUGUGUGCUUGCCGAGUCAUACGCAGAUCAUGAGGACACUAACAAGACAACGAGUGAGCAUUUCAUAUGAAUGCUAGGUUUUAGAAUUUUACGAUUGAUAAAGACGUCGUGAUUAUUUCUUUUAAGUAAAACUGUGUAACCGAAAAUAUAAAUAGUAUUAACAAAGGCAACAGUACUGUUCAUGCUAAUGAUAAAAAUAAUUAGUUUCUUUUCUACGAUAUGCUUUAGUAGGUGUACAUAUUUCAAAAAUGAUAAUAAUAAUAAACCUCGUACGUUAUUUUUUUA